ensembl:snoRNA SCARNA10 small Cajal body-specific RNA 10
GCCCAGUGAUGAGACCAAGGCGAAUAUGAGCUUACUGAAUGAGAGCUGGGUUCUUCUUUGCCUUGACUGGCAGGUAAUCUUGGCAGUGCAGAGGAGCAUUCCUGCUCUGCUGUAAGGGCCUGCCUACAGUGAUGUAGCUCGACCUAAAUUAUUCCUCAACAGUCAGUGGAUUAAUUCCUGGGAUGAUGCUGACAGUGUGUGUGUGUGUGUGUGCAGUGUGUGCAUGUCUGAGAAGGCAAGAAGUUCACCCAGCUCUCUUUGCUAUUCAGUCAGCCAUGAGUAGCUUCUUUGGUAAUCUGAGGCC